GAGAAAGCAGGGGACCUUCGGGCCUUGCGCUAUCAGAUGAGCCUAGGUCGGAUUAGCUAGUUGGUGGGGUAAUGGCUCACCAAGGCGACGAUCCGUAACUGGUCUGAGAGGAUGAUCCAGUCACACUGGAACUGAGACACGGUCCAGACUCCUACGGGAGGCAGCAGUGGGGAAUAUUGGACAAUGGGCGAAAGCCUGAUCCAGCCAUGCCGCGUGUGUGAAGAAGGUCUUCGGAUUGUAAAGCACUUUAAGUUGGGAGGAAGGGCCAUUACCUAAUACGUGAUGGUUUGACGUACCGACAGAAAAGCC
rnacentral:rRNA from 1 species